ensembl:misc_RNA
AGAGAUCUCCUCCUCGUUCUGUACACAUAGCUCGUCCAAGGGCUGCAUCUGGCCUUCCCUUGCCGUCGGGCCUGCCCUGUUCCCUCCUCUUGCCCCUGGAGAUGGACGCUAG